rnacentral:rRNA from 1 species
UACGGAAGGCAGCAGUGGGGAAUAUUGCACAAUGGGCGAAAGCCUGAUGCAGCUAUGCCGCGUGUAUGAAGAAGGCCUUAGGGUUGUAAAGUACUUUCAUCGGGGAGGAAAAAACAAAACUAAUAAUUUUAUUUCUUGACGUUACCCGAAAAAGAAGCACCGGCUAACUCCGUGCCAGCAGCCGCGGUAAUACGGAGGGUGCUAGCGUUAAUCAGAAUUACUGGGCGUAAAGAGCACGUAGGUGGUUUUUUUAAAGUCAGAUGUGAAAUCCCUGGGCUUAACCUGGAACUGCAUUUUGAAACUGAAAUACUAGAGUAUCGUAGAGGGAGGUAGAAUUCUAGGUGUAGCGGUGAAAUGCGUAGAUAUCUGGAGGAAUACCUGUGGCGAAAGCGGCCUCCUAAACGAAUACUGACACUGAGGGUGCGAAAGCGUGGGGAGCAAACAGGGACUUAGAUACC